GACAGCAAUAUCAACAACAUCCAACUCUCAAAAUUCAGAGAAAGAAACUGUUGGGCUUCAGAGGUUGAGAGAAGCAAUGAUGGCCUCUACAUCAGCAGUCUCUAUGGGCGGCAUGCCUUUGACCUACGCAAGCCGAAAGAGGCUACCAGCUGCAGACAGUUUCUUCAAGCCAUUGCCAGUGAGGCCCUCCAAUGCUGCUGCAGCAGCAAAGCCCAUUGCCAAGUUUCAGGUCAACGCUUCUUCACUCAAGGAAAAGGCGGUGACUGGAUU
rnacentral:lncRNA from 1 species